UACGUAGGUGGCAAGCGUUGUCCGGAAUUAUUGGGCGUAAAGCGCGCGCAGGCGGUCCUUUAAGUCUGAUGUGAAAGCCCUCGGCUCAACCGAGGAGGGUCAUUGGAAACUGGAGGACUUGAGUGCAGAAGAGGAAAGUGGAAUUCCAAGUGUAGCGGUGAAAUGCGUAGAGAUUUGGAGGAACACCAGUGGCGAAGGCGACUUUCUGGUCUGUAACUGACGCUGAGGAGCGAAAGCGUGGGUAGCAAACAGG
rnacentral:rRNA from 1 species